rnacentral:rRNA from 1 species
AGCAGAGCCACGGGAACACGUAGGGUGCGAGCGUUAAUCGGAAUUACUGGGCGUAAAGCGUGCGCAGGCGGUUUUGUAAGACAGGCGUGAAAUCCCCGGGCUCAACCUGGGAAUGGCGCUUGUGACUGCAAAGCUAGAGUGCGGCAGAGGGGGAUGGAAUUCCGCGUGUAGCAGUGAAAUGCGUAGAUAUGCGGAGGAACACCGAUGGCGAAGGCAAUCCCCUGGGCCUGCACUGACGUUCAUGCACGAAAGCGUGGGGAGCAAACAGGAUUAGAUACCCCGGUAGUCCCUGUCUCUUAUACA